GAAUGUUAAUUAGUGCAGAGGGGUAAAGUGAGGGGGAGCGUUGUUCGGAAUUAUUGGGCGUAAAGGGCACGCAGGCGGUUUUACAAGCUUGGUGUGAAAGACCUCAGCUCAACUGAGGGGACGCGCUGAGAACUGUAAGAGUAGAAUCGAGGAGGGGAAGCUGGAAUUCCUGGUGUAGGGGUGAAAUCUGUAGAUAUCAGGAGGAACACCGGUGGCGAAGGCGAGCUUCUAUCCAUGGAUUGACGCUGAGGUGCGAAAGCGUGGGGAGCGAACAGGAUUAGAUACCCUGGUAGUCCACGCUGUAAACGAUGUGCACUAGGUGUUGGGGUAAGGAACUUCAGUACCGAAGCUAACGCGAUAAGUGCACCGCCUGGGGAGUAUGCCCGGCAACGGUGAAACUCAAAGGGAAUUGACCGGGGGCCCGCACAAAGCGGGUGGAGCAUGUGGUUUAAUUCGAUGAUACGCGAGGAACCUUACCAGGGGCUUGACAUAAUACCGGCGGCGCUGGAGACAGCGCUUUCCCAUAUUGGGACGGUAUUACAGGUGCUGCAUGGUUGUCGUCAGCUCGUGCUGUGAAGUGUUGGGUUAAGUCCCGCAACGAGCGCAACCUUGCUGUCUGUUGCCAACAGGUGAAGCUGGGGACUCAGACGGAACUGCCGGUGACAAACCGGAGGGAAAGGUGGGGACCGACGUCCAAAUCAUCAUGGCCUUAUGUCCUGGGGUUACACACGUUGCUUACAAAUUGGGCCGGGACACAGAGUUGAAGCGAAACCCGGAAGGUGGGAGCGGAAUCCGGAGAAAGCCGGGCACAGACCGGGUUUGGGAGCUUUGGAAUCCGCGUUUCCUGAAAAGGGGGGACCCGCAGAAAACGGAGUCUAAAUAGGGGGGGGGAAAAAUCUCCGGGGGUUUGUGGAAAACCGGCGGGGACACCCGGGUGGGGGGCCCCAAAGCGUGUGGCACUUUGGGAAGGGGGGGGCGCGCAAAUAUCGCCAAAG
rnacentral:rRNA from 1 species